AUUGAACGCUGGCGGCAGGCCUAACACAUGCAAGUCGAGCGAGCGGCGGACGGGUGAGUAAUGUAUGGGGACUGCCCGAUAGAGGGGGAUAACUACUGGAAACGGCGGCUAAUACCGCAUACUAUCGGAAAACCCAUAUGGGAUUAGCUAGUAGGUGGGGGAAAGGCGCACCUAGGCGACGAUUUCUAGCUGGUCUGAGAGGAUGAUCCGCCACCCUGGGCCUGUGACACGGCCCAGACUCCUACGGAGGCAGCAGUGGGGAAUAUUGCACAAUGGGCGCAAGCCGUAUGCAGCCAUGCCGCGUGUAUGAAGAAGGCCUUAGUGUUGUCAAGUGCUUUCAGCGGGGAGGCGUUACCCGCAGAAGAAGCACCGGCUAACUCCGUGCCAGCAGCCGCGGUAAUUC
rnacentral:rRNA from 1 species